CUAGCUGUAAACGAUGGAUACUAGGCGUUGAGAGUAUCGACCCUCUCAGUGUCGUAGCUAACGCGUUAAGUAUCCCGCCUGGGGAGUACGCGCGCAAGCGUGAAACUCAAAGGAAUUGACGGGGGCCCGCACAAGCGGUGGAGUAUGUGGUUUAAUUCGAUGCAACGCGAAGAACCUUACCAGGGCUUGACAUGUCUGGAACCCUGCCCAAAGGCGGGGGUGCCUACGGGAACCGGAACACAGGUGGUGC
rnacentral:rRNA from 1 species